GUUAUAAUAGUUUAAUAAAAAUUUAAUAUUGAAGCUAUUAAGAUAAUUAUAAUUUUAUAACA
rnacentral:tRNA from 1 species